GUACGUUCAACCUUCGGGUCGCAUGUUACCUAGUCAUGGAACGGGGGCUAGGU
rnacentral:ncRNA from 2 species